rnacentral:rRNA from 1 species
UACGUAGGUGGCAAGCGUUGUCCGGAUUUACUGGGCGUAAAGGGCGUGCAGGCGGUUUGUUAAGUGCAGGGUGAAAGCUCCCGGCUCAACUGGGAGAGGUCCUUGCAUACUGGCGAACUCGAGGGAGGCAGAGGAAAGUGGAAUUCCCGGUGUAGUGGUGAUAUGCGUAGAUAUCGGGAGGAACACCUGUGGCGAAGGCGGCUUUCUGGGCCUUACCUGACGCUGAGACGCGAAAGCGUGGGGAUCAAACAGG